GAACCUCACCCAGCCAAGACAUGAAAAGGAUUGACAGAUUGAUAGCUUUUUCUUGAUUCUGUGGGUGGUGGUGCAUGGCUGUUCUUAGUUGGUGGAGCAAUGUCUGGUUAAUUCCAAUAAUGAACAAGACUCUGGCAUGCUAACUAGUUUUAUGACCCCCGAGUGCCAAGAACUUUUUUCCAACUACUCAGUUGGUCUAAUAAAAGAUAUCACAUCUACCCAAGGAACCUUGCCUGCCUAGGUUUUAACCUAGAUUUCCUAGCACAAUGCUCUAAACACCAGGUGAUACUUUAUUGGCCAGC
rnacentral:ncRNA from 1 species